AUGUUAGCGGCGGACGGGUGAGUAACACGUGGGUAACCUGCCUGUAAGACUGGGAUAACUCCGGGAAACCGGGGCUAAUACCGGAUGCUUGUUUGAACCGCAUGGUUCAAACAUAAAAGGUGGCUUCGGCUACCACUUACAGAUGGACCCGCGGCGCAUUAGCUAGUUGGUGAGGUAAUGGCUCACCAAGGCAACGAUGCGUAGCCGACCUGAGAGGGUGAUCGGCCACACUGGGACUGAGACACGGCCCAGACUCCUACGGGAGGCAGCAGUGGUCAU
rnacentral:rRNA from 1 species